rnacentral:tRNA from 1 species
GGGCGAUUAGCGCAGUUGGUAGCGCAGCAUGUUCACAUCGUGAAGGUCGGGGGUUCGAAUCCCUCAUCGCCCA